rfam:Guillardia theta CCMP2712 unplaced genomic scaffold GTITHscaffold_49, whole genome shotgun sequence.
GGGGAUUUGGUUUAGUGGCAUAAUGCUCGCUUCGGGUGCGAGAGGUCCCGGGUUCGAUUCCCGGAAUCCCCC